GAUGAACGCUGGCGGCGUGCUUAACACAUGCAAGUCGAACGGAAAGGCCUGAGCUUGCUGGGGUGCUCGAGUGGCGAACGGGUGAGUAACACGUAGGUGAUCUGCCUUUCACUUCGGGAUAAGCUUGGGAAACUGGGUCUAAUACCGGAUAUUCACGGCACCGUGGUUGGUGUGGUGGAAAGCUUUUGCGGUGGGAGAUGAGCUUGCGGCCUAUCAGCUUGUUGGUGGGGUAAUGGCCUACCAAGGCGGCGACGGGUAGCCGGCCUGAGAGGGUGUGCGGCCACAUUGGGACUGAGAGACGGCCCAGACUCCUACGGGAGGCAGCAGUGGGGAAUUUUGCACAAUGGGCGGAAGCCUGAUGCAGCGACGCCGUGUGGGGGAUGAAGGCCUUCGGGUUGUAAACUCCUUUCGUCAGGGACGAAGUUUGUUUGACGGUACCUGGAUAAGAAGCACCGGCUAACUACGUG
rnacentral:rRNA from 1 species